rnacentral:lncRNA from 1 species
CGUCAAGAUCAUACUUAAAAAAAAAACGUAUCGUUAGGUUUUCAAAUCAAAAAUACUUAAUAAAACACAAAAAUGACUAAAUAAAAGGACGUCGAUGAAGAGGAAGACCAAGGCGGAACUAGUAAAAGUGGAAGUUGUGUUGUAUCAGAACGACGGAACUCGCUGUGAAUGCAUAUUAACAGUCCUCAACCAACAAGACUCCUAUCUUCUUCUUUGUCGUUCCCACACUGCUGAGGAUCGCGACCACAGGUUAUGGUUUUCCACUUGGUACGGCUAUAUGCUGCGUGCACCGCCCUCUGUAUGCUGCCGUCCACCGUCUUCUUCACGAUGUCAGACCACCUCGUAGGCGCCCUUCCUCGCGCACGUUUGCUAUCCAUUUGCCCAACGAUGAUCUGCUUCUCCAGACUGUGCUUCGGAGACCGCAUAAUAUGUCCGAAGAAGCUUAGGGCACGAUUCCGGCAUAUUGAGGAGAGCCGCGUCGUGAUCUUGAGCUCUUUUAAUAUGGACUCAUUCGUACACGUAAAUAGCCUUAAAUUACCAAGUAGAGAAAGUCCACCAUGAGGUGAGCACGAAGUUUUGAAGACAGGAGUGAUUGUAUUAGAUUUCCUCCUGAGCAGUUGCACUACAAAUUUAGUGAUGAAGAGGCAAUACUUGACAGAAACCUUAAGUUGGAUGACAUAAUUAUAAAGAAAAUCAAUAAGAGGAUGAACUCUUUUAAUGUUUAUAAAACAAUAGUAUGGAAGAAUUUUGAUGCAUCUUGGAGCAAUGGCAACAUAUUUGGGAGUUGAGAGUGACAACGAGCAGAUUACAUAACAAUGGGAGGAUAACAAGGGCCUUAACUGAAAAAACUGGUGAAUGUUCCCAAAUAAACCUCACAGAUGUAGAAGAAAGACAAAAUAAAUUUGUUUAUUUAUUUUAUUUCUGUUCCCUACUAAACUAGUAAUAAAACAUACUUGUUACAAAUA